ACCCGCUNGAACUUAAGCAUAUCAAUAAGCGGAGGAAAAGAAACCAACAGGGAUUGCCUCAGUAACGGCGAGUGAAGCGGCAACAGCUCAAAUUUGAAAUCUGGCCUCUUUCGGGGUCCGAGUUGUAAUUUGUAGAGGAUGCUUCGGGUACGGCUGCGGUCUAAGUUCCUUGGAACAGGACGUCAUGGAGGGUGAGAAUCCCGUGUGGGACCGUCCGCCACGCCCGUGUGAAGCGCCUUCGACGAGUCGAGUUGUUUGGGAAUGCAGCUCAAAAUGGGUGGUAAAUUUCAUCUAAAGCUAAAUACCGGCCAGAGACCGAUAGCGCACAAGUAGAGUGAUCGAAAGAUGAAAAGCACUUUGGAAAGAGAGUUAAAAAGCAUGUGAAAUUGUUGAAAGGGAAGCGCUUGCAACCAGACUUGUCCCCGGGUGUUCAACCGGCGUUCUCGCCGGUGCACUCGCCCGGGGCCAGGCCAGCAUCAGCUCGGGCGGCCGGACAAAGGCCCCUGGAAUGUGGCUCCCUUCGGGGAGUGUUAUAGCCAGGGGUGCAAUGCGGCCCGCCCGGACUGAGGAACCGCGCUCGGCUCGAUGC
rnacentral:rRNA from 1 species